rnacentral:rRNA from 1 species
GAUGAACGCUGGCGGCGUGCCUAAUACAUGCAAGUCGAGCGAACAGACGAGGAGCUUGCUCCUCUGACGUUAGCGGCGGACGGGUGAGUAACACGUGGAUAACCUACCUAUAAGACUGGGAUAACUUCGGGAAACCGGAGCUAAUACCGGAUAACAUGUUGAACCGCAUGGUUCAACAGUGAAAGACGGUCUUGCUGUCACUUAUAGAUGGAUCCGCGCCGCAUUAGCUAGUUGGUAAGGUAACGGCUUACCAAGGCAACGAUGCGUAGCCGACCUGAGAGGGUGAUCGGCCACACUGGAACUGAGACACGGUCCAGACUCCUACGGGAGGCAGCAGUAGGGAAUCUUCCGCAAUGGGCGAAAGCCUGACGGAGCAACGCCGCGUGAGUGAAGAAGGUCUUCGAAUCGUAAAACUCUGUUAUUAGGGAAGAACAAAUGUGUAAGUAACUAUGCACGUCUGGACGGUACCUAAUCAGAAAGCCACGGCUAACUACGU